rnacentral:rRNA from 1 species
GUCCGAGUUGUAGUCUGGAGAAGCGUUUYCYGCGUCGGACCGUGUACAAGUCCCUUGGAACAGGRCGUCGYAGAGGGUGAGAAUCCCGUCUUUGACACGGACUGCCGAUGCUAUGUGAUGCGCUCUCGAAGAGUCGAGUUGUUUGGGAAUGCAGCUCAAAACGGGUGGUAAAUUCCAUCUAAAGCUAAAUAUUGGCGAAAGACCGAUAGCGAACAAGUACCGUGAGGGAAAGAUGAAAAGCACUUUGGAAAGAGAGUUAAACAGUACGUGAAAUUGKYGAAAGGGAAACGCUUGAAGUCAGUCGCGUCUCUUGRGACUCAGCCUUGCUUUUGCUUGGUGURCUUCCUGAGGUGAYGGGCCAGCAUCGAUUUUGAUCGUYGGAUAAAGKCUUUGGGAAUGUGGCAYCCUCGGRUGUGUUAUAGCCCUAKGUCGCAUGCGGCGGUUGGGAUCGAGGACCGCAGCACGCC